rnacentral:rRNA from 1 species
CUGGCGGCGGCCUACACAUGNCAGUCGAGCGGCAGCACGGGUACUUGUACCUGGUGGCGAGCGGCGGACGGGUGAGUAAUGCCUAGGAAUCUGCCUGGUAGUGGGGGAUAACGCUCGGAAACGGACGCUAAUACCGCAUACGUCCUACGGGAGAAAGCAGGGGACCUUCGGGCCUUGCGCUAUCAGAUGAGCCUAGGUCGGAUUAGCUAGUUGGUGAGGUAAUGGCUCACCAAGGCGACGAUCCGUAACUGGUCUGAGAGGAUGAUCAGUCACACUGGAACUGAGACACGGUCCAGACUCCUACGGGAGGCAGCAGUGGGGAAUAUUGGACAAUGGGCGAAAGCCUGAUCCAGCCAUGCCGCGUGUGUGAAGAAGGUCUUCGGAUUGUAAAGCACUUUAAGUUGGGAGGAAGGGCAGUUACCUAAUACGUGAUUGUUUUGACGUUACCGACAGAAUAAGCACCGGCUAACUCUGUGCCAGCAGCCGCGGUAAU